UACGUAGGAGACGAGCGUUGUCCGGAAUUACUGGGCGUAAAGCGCGUGUAGGCGGGCGUGCAAGUCUGCUGUGAAAGCUCCUGGCUUAACCGGGAGUGGUCGGUGGAAACUGCACACCUGGAGGACGGUAGAGGUAGGUAGAAUUCCCGGUGUAGUGGUGAAAUGCGUAGAUAUCUGAAGGAACAUCAGUGGCGAAAGCGACUUCCUGGACCAAUACUGACGCUCAUGUGCGAAAGCGUGGGGAGCAAACAGG
rnacentral:rRNA from 1 species